rnacentral:rRNA from 1 species
UACAGAGGGGGCAAGCGUUGUUCGGAAUUACUGGGCGUAAAGGGCGCGUAGGCGGCCUGAUAAGUAGGGGGUGAAAUCCUGCGGCUUAACCGCAGGGCUGCCUUCUAAACUGUCAGGCUUGAGCACAGUAGAGGCAGGUGGAAUUCCCGGUGUAGCGGUGGAAUGCGUAGAGAUCGGGAAGAACAUCAGUGGCGAAGGCGGCCUGCUGGGCUGUUGCUGACGCUGAGGCGCGACAGCGUGGGGAGCAAACAGG